CCUACAGCAGCUGAAGAGGUGAUGUUGUACAAGGACCAGCACAGUCACCCUAGGGCAGUGCCAGCAGCCGAGAUCCUGGGUAUACAAUCAGGAGAGCAGUGAACCAUCAAAACCAGAGGAGGCUUUUACACUAUCAUCUGAAAGGGCAAUGAGCAAGGGCAAGCCCUUGUUUUCCUGAAGUCAAGCAGGCUGGGAACUGGUGUCUCCUGCACUGGUAGAAGAGCACUGAAUUUUGGGCAGCUACAGAACUCAAAAAGACAUGCCAGCAGUAGAUGAAGAGGAUUUGGAAGCUCUCCGGAGGUGUGGAGGAGGGAAGAGAAGGUUUAAGGUGGACCAAAGGGAACUGCACCCUCCUCCUUCCGCACUGCCCACACUCAUGUCUCUGCAGCCCUUCCCUUGGUUCCCCGCAAUACUUUG